ACUCUCUGGUUCCCUUUCCUAUCAGAUUUUGACCCUGGUUUUGGCAGUUGUGAAGGAGGAAGAAUACACUGAGGCUCACGUCACAGCAAUGUAGUCUAGCAUAGAGCAUAGGGCCAGACUGACACAGGC
ensembl:snoRNA Gm56111 predicted gene, 25105